rnacentral:rRNA from 1 species
UACGUAGGGGGCGAGCGUUGUCUGGAUUUAUUGGGCGUAAAGAGCUCGUAGGCGGUUUGGUAAGUCGGGUGUGAAAUCUCCACGCUCAACGUGGAGGGGCCACUCGAUACUGCCAUGACUCGAGUCCGGUAGAGGAGUGUGGAAUUCCCGGUGUAGCGGUGAAAUGCGCAGAUAUCGGGAGGAACACCCGUAGCGAAGGCGGCACUCUGGGCCGGAACUGACGCUGAGGAGCGAAAGCGUGGGGAGCAAACAGG